CACCAACCAAUGGCAGCAAGCUUAGCCAAAUGAGGGCUUGUUUAUGAGACUGCUUGCUCUCGGGUUGGUGGAAGCCAGCGCUGUCGUCUCGGGGCGUGGCUGAAGGGGCUCUCUACAAGGGAGUACAAUGACCUGUCCCAGCACUUACAUAGAAGGAUCCGAGUAAGUCAUAAUUGAGCUUCCUCUGGAUCUGGAUGUUUCCCGCUCCAUGCCACCAUGCUUCUCACUACGCUGACAAUGGACAAAACCUCUGAGACAGAUACUCUGCUUGACGCUUUGGAUGUUCUCCAGUUCCAAUUCCAGCUGCCCCCUCUUGUAGUCAGAGGUAUCUGGUGGUCACUUGUUCACAGCCUUCGGGAAUUGACAAAUUUCUACUGACCUCAGAUUUCUAGGUCAGUAGUUCUCCACGAAGCUUGUACCAAGACAACAGGUUUCCUCCAAAGAUUAUCAAUCCUGCAGUUAAGUGUCCCCAAUAAGAAAGACCUGAAAGAACUUCCAGACAAAGACUUCAAAAUGAUGAUGGUAACUAUAGAUGAACAACUCAAGAAGAUAUGAAUAUAUUAUGAGAGAAGAAAAACAAAGAGCCGAAUGAAAUAAGGAAGUCAAUCCAAUAUAUGAACAUAGAAUUCAAUAAAGAGAAUUGCUAAAGAAAAAC